UACGUAGGGUGCGAGCGUUGUCCGGAAUUAUUGGGCGUAAAGGGCUCGUAGGCGGUUUGUCGCGUCGGGAGUGAAAACCAGGUGCUUAACACCUGGCUUGCUUUCGAUACGGGCAGACUAGAGGUAUUCAGGGGAGAACGGAAUUCCUGGUGUAGCGGUGAAAUGCGCAGAUAUCAGGAGGAACACCGGUGGCGAAGGCGGUUCUCUGGGCAUUACCUGACGCUGAGACGCGAAGGCGUGGGGAGCGAACGGG
rnacentral:rRNA from 1 species